AGGCGUCUGUUGGGGUGCCCCUCGGGGCUGAGAUGCGGCGACGCAAACCCAUUGAACCUGAACCGGUUAGGACCGGCGUAGGAAACAGCCCUUGCGACCGC
rnacentral:ncRNA from 2 species